rnacentral:rRNA from 1 species
UGGGGAAUUUUGGACAAUGGGCGAAAGCCUGAUCCAGCAAUGCCGCGUGUGUGAAGAAGGCCUUCGGGUUGUAAAGCACUUUUGUCCGGAAAGAAAUCCUUGGCUCUAAUACAGUCGGGGGAUGACGGUACCGGAAGAAUAAGCACCGGCUAACUACGUGCCAGCAGCCGCGGUAAUACGUAGGGUGCAAGCGUUAAUCGGAAUUACUGGGCGUAAAGCGUGCGCAGGCGGUUUGCUAAGACCGAUGUGAAAUCCCCGGGCUCAACCUGGGAACUGCAUUGGUGACUGGCAGGCUAGAGUAUGGCAGAGGGGGGUAGAAUUCCACGUGUAGCAGUGAAAUGCGUAGAGAUGUGGAGGAAUACCGAUGGCGAAGGCAGCCCCCUGGGCCAAUACUGACGCUCAUGCACGAAAGCGUGGGGAGCAAACAGGAUUAGACACCCUGGUAGUCCACGCCCUAAACGAUGUCAACUAGUUGUUGGGGAUUCAUUUCCUUAGUAACGUAGCUAACGCGUGAAGUUGACCGCCUGGGGAGUACGGUCGCAAGAUUAAAACUCAAAUGAAUUGACGGGGUCAUA